GAUGAACGCUGGCGGCGUGCCUAAUACAUGCAAGUCGAGCGAACAGAUGAGGAGCUUGCUCCUCUGACGUUAGCGGCGGACGGGUGAGUAACACGUGGAUAACCUACCUAUAAGACUGGGAUAACUUCGGGAGACCGGAGCUAAUACCGGAUAAUAUAUUGAACCGCAUGGUUCAAUAGUGAAAGACGGUUUUGCUGUCACUUAUAGAUGGAUCCGCGCCGCAUUAGCUAGUUGGUAAGGUAACGGCUUACCAAGGCGACGAUGCGUAGCCGACCUGAGAGGGUGAUCGGCCACACUGGAACUGAGACACGGUCCAGACUCCUACGGGAGGCAGCAGUAGGGAAUCUUCCGCAAUGGGCGAAAGCCUGACGGAGCAACGCCGCGUGAGUGAUGAAGGUCUUCGGAUCGUAAAACUCUGUUAUUAGGGAAGAACAAAUGUGUAAGUAACUAUGCACGUCUUGACGGUACCUAAUCAGAAAGCCACGGCUAACUACGUG
rnacentral:rRNA from 1 species